rnacentral:tRNA from 1 species
GGGAACUUGGUCUAGUGGUAUGAUUCUCGCUUAGGGUGCGAGAGGUCGCGGGUUCCAUUCCUGCAGUUCCCC